rnacentral:lncRNA from 1 species
GAAUAUUAAACAGCUGGAGAGCUGAGCAGUGAAGGGCAGCCCAGAGGAAACCUGCCUUUAGCAUCUGAUUAUUUUAAUUUGGGAGGAAGGUUGCAUUUAUUCCUAAUUGACCGGAGAGGAUCGGCUUUCCUUCCUCCCUGCUCCCCCUCCCACUCCCCUCCCCAGCAGUCUCUGGGAAGGUGUGCAGAGCAGCUGUCAGACCACAGAAACCGGAUUCCUCUGCAUCAAGGAAGCCCUUGUUAUUUGCAAAAUUUGAUUAGCUCUUUACCUUUAUUAUUGCCCUUCAACCCAUGGGCAUUUCAGGUGAGCAAAGAACUGGCCUGAAAGGAGGAGCAGAGCCAAGGGUAGCCCUUGCUGCCUCUCCUCUCUCCAGCCUUCUCCCUUUCAAAGUGACAGAUAUAAUUGGGGGCAUGAAUAAUUAUGACACCGAAACAGGCCUCCACCAGAGAUGUCGGGUGGUGGGCAGAAUACUGAGUGAAGGGAACAUGAAAGCACUAGGUCAGGACCUGCUUGUUUACCUGCUGUGUGACUGUGGACAAGUCGUGUUCCGUCUCUGAGCCUUCCCAUUUCCUAGUCUGUGAAAUGCAGAUAUUCAAAAGAUGAUCGCAAAGGAGCCAUCGGGGUUGAAAACCAUAGCUCUUGUCACAAGUGCACUGCUAUGCAGGUAAGGAUCCCAGUGCCACUUCCUCAGAGAGGUCAUCCCAGCCUAUCCAAAGGGUGCUUCUGCCCUGUCAUUCUCUACCACAGCGCUUACCACUGUCUGAAACCAUCUGCCUGAUUUCUGUGCAAUUAUUUUAUUAGCCUACUUGGAUGGAAGCUUUGAGCAAGUCACACAGGCUGUCUCAUUCACUGCUUCCUUUUUGGUAAAGGAUGUAUAUUUAGAACUCUUCAGGAGAGCUGAAUGAAUAUGUCCAGCUAUUUUUCUCCAAGAAGUUUUGUCAGUUUGCAAGCGGUAGACAGAGAGUCUCAGGUCACAGGAGCAAAUGGGUAUUUAGGAGAGACAUCCAGGCCAGUAAGAGAUAAGCAGACAAUCUCCUGAGCCCACAGCCAGGUCCUAUUAAGAAAUGAAAAAAACAGUUGAGGCUUUAUCAGAUGACAGCCCCUCAGAUGGUCCAGCACCAACUACGUUCAUUGUUCCCUCAACUGUGAGCAUCCAUUACUCUCCAUUGCAGGGCUCUGCCUUUUCGGUGAGACGGUUUCAUUCUCACCAUUUCCAUUGCUCUGGGCUCUCCAGAAUAACCAGCUUUCUGAGUGUCCUGAGAUCAGACUCCUCCAAAAAGCAUUUGAGUGGUUUACCUAAUCACUGUCCACUGUAGGAGACUUCUUUGGGGGCAAAAUUGCCCUUGAAACCAGCAUAUGGGGUUCUCCAAGAUGGGAUCGCAUUAGAAAUAUCUGAGCAGCUUUUCCAAAAUGCACUUCCUGGGGACUCAUUGAUAGGUAAUAAGUUAGGCUCUCCAUCUGGUGUUGGAUUAGACAUCUGCUAUUUUGAAAAGUCUCCCCAGGUGAUUGUGUUGUGCACUUCUGGACCAUAGCCACUGUCGUCGAUGGCUGUCUUUGGAACAGGUGCUCAUCCUUGGCCCAGUCGUCUGUGACCAGAGAGGUGGAGUCACAGGGACAAAGCACAGGAAGGGAGUGUGGCACACACUCAGAACUCCAUACAGCCUUUCAAAUCCCCGCCCCUCUUUCUCUCUGUCCAUCCUUCCUUCCCACAUCACUUACGUAUUUCUCUUCCAGGUCAGGAUGUAUAGAUGUUGGAGCAGACUCUAAUAGUUCUCUCUUUCCCCUUUAGAAACACUUACAAGGAUUAAAACAAGUUGGCAUGUGAGAGCUCAAAUGCUCUAAAAGCUGGGAGGGAGCAAACGUGUGUACAUUCCAGCUGGGGUUAGGGAAACAGAGCACAUAAACAGGGCACAUAAACCUGGAUUCCAUUUCAAGAUUAGAACCAGCUUCUUAAAAUAAUAAUCCUUUAUUCUGUCAUCCUUCUCAUUCACAGUACCACCAAAGUAGCAGUAUCUAGAAAGGAAUUUGGUCUUUCCUGGGCCACAUAAGGGGCAGUUCACUGAACUACUUAUAAAAUGUAACAGCUGUUCAUUCCCUUUAUUAUAGAAAAAAGAAAGAGCAGGAGGAAGAGGAGGAGGAGGAGGAGGAGGAAUACAACACUAAAUAGAGACCAAUUCCCAUGGCUGACAGAAGAUCCUUGGGAGAGGAUGGGUUAGCAGGAGUGAGGAAAGCCAGAGUGAAGAGAGGAUGCCUUGAGGGACAUCACACAUCUUAGGAAUAUGAGAACAGAAGCUGUAUAAGUAAAUAUGGUAGACCAGAAAGACAAUAGGAGACUGUUUCAUUGUGACAAUUUCCCAGAUAAAUAAAUUUCCCAUUCAUUUAUCUCAAUAAAUAAAUCCCUAAGUGUUUCAGUCAUUUCACUUAGGUUUUCUGGUACAGAUGACACACCCCUAACUAAUGCUCUAUAGCCAAAUAGAAUGAUGCAGGAGUUAACGGAGUUCAUGUCCCAGCCAUGUGGACAUGUAGAUGUGUGGCCCCUAGGAAGUCAUGAAAGCAUCUUUGAUGCCAUUUAGUUCCUCUUUAAAAUAGAAAUAGUACUGUCAAGCUGAGUUUUAAAUGAGAUAUUUUAUGAGAAAGCCGGGGGUUGUCAAUCAGGCAGGGAGAACCCAUACAAAUUACCAGGGCUGCCAUCUCAGGGGGCCUAGAUCCUGUCUGGGUUGCGUAGUAAUACAAAUGCUGAAUGGAGACCAUUUCCCCACCACUGUCCUUAUUGGGAAAGCCCCUAAUAAAUUUUUUAAACAGGAAGCAGCUAUCAGAAGCCUUGGUAAAAAUAUUUUAUAAAGGACCAUACUAAUAUUGGGGAAUAUUAAAGUACCAGUUAAAUAACUCCAUUGUACAACUUACAAAAGCAGUCACUGGGAUGAAGGGCUCUCAAUGUUCUCAUUAAAUGGAAGGGAGAAGGGAGGAUUUUCUCAGUUCCUUCUGAAACAGUUCUAUCCCACAAACUUCCCAAGCCAUCCCUUUCUGUCUUGCCUAUCCCUGGACCCUUCCUUUGUCUCUGAGCAAAUGCAAGACAAAAGUAGUCAGGAGGCUGCAGAAAGAGAACACUGUAAGCCCUUCCUAGAGUGAAGCAGGCCUUGAUGCAGUGAAGGGAUAAACCUCAGGGUAGACCCCAGAAGAAUGCCACUGACGCCCUGGAAGUCCGAGGUGCCACAUGGAUACAUCUUUCACCCACUCCCCACUUGGCAGGGGGCCUCUCCUUGUGCAAGCCAAGUUUUCCAAAGGCUGGAGGGUGCUUCCCAAAGUCUAGUGCCUCAAGAUACAGGUCUUAGCCAGAUUCAGGGGUGCACAUUUGUAAUCCCAGCUACUCAGGAGGCUGAGGCAGGAGGAUUGCAAGUUCAAGACCAACCUGAGCAACUUAGCAAGACCUCAUCUCAAAAUAAAAGUAAAAGGACUAGCUAGCAUGCACCAUGUCCUGAGUUCAAUUCCCAGCAUCUCCUCCAAAAAGAUACAGGCCUCAGCUUGGCUGGGUGUCUCAGUUCCAGAAAUUUUCAGUUUCUCUCAGAAUUCAACUCAAAUCACCUGCUUGUAGAUUUGAGCUAACAUAGGCAGCCCCUAGUCCCUCUUUCCUGUACCUUCCACCCAUUCUCACCCUCUCACCACGUUAGAGCUAAGUGAAUAUGGUUUUCCAAAUAUAGUUUUGCUGCCAGUGUGUUAGGCCUUCUAAUGAGCCACAGUAAUUGCUUCUCUAUUUUCCAAAAUGAAAAUGAACCUCCGAAGAGCAGCUGGUUCACUGUAAUGUUCUCUUCCCUCCAAUUACAUACUGCAUUCCUCCAAGUCAGUCAAACGCCGGCCUUGACUGCUUCAUCUGUGAGCAGGGCCCGUGGGAGAGGCUGGAGGAAUGUGCUGAUGUCAAGGAAACAGGCCUGGAGCCUUGAAUACUUGGGUAUAUUUAAGGGAACAGGGAAGAAAGAGAAGUAGGAGGAGGAAGAUGGGAAAGAUCUGGUUUUACUUUUGAAUUCUAAGAUGUCCUAGCUUGGGUUGUGCUUUUCAGUGUAUCUGAAAGGAUAACUGAAACUUUAGACAACAGAGCAAAAAUGUCUCUGUCUUCCUCUCUUUUUCAAGAAUCAUGACAAAGCAAUAAAGAAAAGAAUCAAUAACAUAAACCCCAUAGUCUACAGGGGCAGGACACAUCUGUAAUCUGGAGCCCCCAGUGUAUGAAGAUGAGAAAAAUUGAUGAGCCACUUCAUAGAUCUACGAAAAGUCCAGCCCAAGAGGCAGAGGGUAGAAUCAAGUGAAUCAAGCCAUUCUCCCUGGAGAAUAUAGAGGAGUCUAGGGAGUUGGGAAACCAACAUUCUGCAUUAGUCAGAAAUCAGCACAGCACGGAAAAUAACUUCUGUGGUAUUAAGAUAACAAUACCAGGUACCACUUCUGGAGCACCUCAUGGUGCCUGGUCCUUUACAAACAUUCUCUCAUGCAAUGCUCCUAAGAGCAAAACACAUUAUUUUCCAAUUUUAUAGAUGCAAAAACCGAGGCUUAGAGGAACAGUCAUUUGUCCCAGAUGUCAGAGAGUAAGACACUGAACCACACAUUCUUUUUUUUUUCUUCUUAAUAGUACUAGGGAUUGAACUCAGAGACCUCACAUUGAGCUAUACUCCUAGUUCUUUUUAUUUUUUAUGUUGAGACAUGAUCUUGUUAAGAUGCUCACACAGAACUUAAGCUUGCGAUCCUGCUUCCUCAGCCUCCCAAGUAUGGAAGUACAGGUUUACACCACCACUCCCAACAUACACCAAACUAUUCUUAAUUUCAAAGUCCUACCAUGAGCCCCCACCACUUCCUCAGGUCAAUUGGAGCAUGUGAGUCACUUGUACCUAUGUACAGGUGUGGAGCCAGGUUAACAUGAUUGGCAUGGGUUAGUCAGGGGCACUGUUGUCUGGGCUCCUGCUUCACUGUCUGCUCAGCCAUUUUCUCAAGCUGGACUGUGCUUUGGAAAUGUUACAGAAACAAGCAUCACCACCUCCCUCUUGUCACUUUCUGUUGGAGCCCUCCUGCUGGAAUGAGGUACUCCCAAAAGUGGAUCCUUUCAGCUCUGAGGUAGGUGCAGGUCUCUAGAGACUAAGAUUCCAGCAAAUAUACUGGCCAGCAUCCAAGAGGGAAGAAGGUUGAAACAGUUUGGAUUUUAAAUAUCCUCCAAAGACUCAUUCAAGUUCUGCUCACUUGUCUGUGGUGCUACUGAGAAGCAGGAAAUCUUUAGGGGGUGGGGCCUCAUGGGAGGAAGUUAGGUCAUUGGUGUUGUGCCUUUGAAUAGAAUGUUGAGACUCUGGUCUCUUCCUCUCUCUCUCUCUCUGCUUACCAGCCACCAUGAGAUUACCAGAUCUCCUCCACCACAUGCUUCUGUGAUGUGCUGCCCUACCACAGACCCAGAGGAUCAUGGACUGAAAGCUCUGAAACCAUGAGUGAAAAGAAACCAUUCCUCCCUUAAGUUGAUUAUGUCAGGUAUUUUGUCAGAGCAAUGAAGAGCUAAUGCAGAGGAUGUCAAGGAAACUGCUCCUCCCUUCCUACACUCUCCUGUUUGUUACUGCCCAGCACCUGUGCUGUAACAUCCAAAGCAGGCUAUAGAACCCACAACUGUCCAGAUCCCCUCACUGGAGCCACAAAAGUCUGAAUGAAUCUGAGUCACAAAGAACCACAUCCAUUUGAUAUGCAGGUUCAGAAGUGUAAAAUAAAGUGUGCAGUGUCUGUUUGCUAGCCCCUUUCUGAUUUCUGACUUUUUGUUCAAAGAUCAAUCAUAAGAUCCAUGAGAGUCCAUGAAUAAGUGGCUGGCCACUCUGUUAGGCAUGUUGGAGAUCAAGCGUAUUGUGUCUGCCCUCAAGAAUCCAUAACCAGUCAGAGCACUCUGGCAACCACAUCUGAAAAGAGAAGGAAAGACCCCAGGCUGUGUGCAAUUAAGAGCCACUGGAAAGGUGUUCUGAGAUGUACCAUAGUUGUCCUCAGUGAUCUCCCUAAUGCUUCCACUAAGUUGUGAAUUCUUUAAAGGUUUUUGUUUUUUUUAUUUUUGGACUUCAGUGCAUAGCAGUGAGAGGGGCAUGUGCCAACUGCUCAUAAGCAUCUUUUGAAUGAAUGAAUGAGUGAGGGGACAAAUGAACAAGUGAAGGAAUGAAUAUGUUCCAAGGAAGGAAUACUGCAGAGAGCAGAGAGCUGGAGUGGUGAGGUAGUGCAUCCAGGAGGAAACAGGACUACAGCCAAACAGGGAGUUGUCAUCCAGUGACUCUGUAGACCUGAAAGAAUCUUCCAAAGGUCAAGAUGGUCUCUAGAAAGGGACUAACCUGGGACUGAGCAUGGAAGUCAGGAAGUCGGGCUUGUGAUAAACUUUGGUGAGACGGAUGGAGAUGAAUGGAUGUCAUGGGAACACCCAGCUAAGCCAUUCCAGGAGAGACUAAGCAGAGCAGUGAUGACCGUGAUUGUUAAUGUGAAACAGAAAACAGGAGAAAAAACAAGACUCUAUGUUAAAGAUGGAGCGGGAAUCAUGGCUUCUGACUAAAGGAGAACAACAAGUAGGAUGACAACGGCAACAACAACAACAACACAAGAUUUAAGUGAGCUAUCAAAGGGUCUGUUUCAACCAAGAACUCGAAAGAGAGGGCCAACCACACCUGCAAUUCCAACUACUUAAGAGGCUGAAGUGGGUGGAUCACAAGCUCCAGGGUAGUCUGGAUAACUUGGCAAGAUCUUGUUUGAAAAUAGAAAACACAGUGGGCUGAGGAUAUAGCUCAGUAGCCCCUGGGCUCAAUCUCCUUUACUGGAGAGAGAGAGGGAGAGGAGAAGAGAGGAGGAGAGGAAGAGAGAAGAAGAAAGGGAGAGAGAGAGGGAGAGGGAGAGAGAGAGAGAGAGAGGAGGAAUUUUUUCCCUCUCCACUAUAAGAUGUAACACGGUAACAGAGACCUUGGCUCCAGGGAGGUGGGCCAUUCUCUAAUGAAACUUCUAGCCAAGAAUUCACCUGGAUGGUUGGCUUUGUUUUAAGAAAGUUACAAAACCAAGAUUGACGAGAAGGCUCAUAAUAAACUCAAGUCCGAGGCUCUGAGUCAACCAGGGCACUCCAUCAAGAUGCCUUAGUGAGGUUAGAAAAAGAGAAUACUGCAUAUAUUUCCUAAAGUCUGGAAAUGAAAUUUUUCCCCAAUUACUUUCAUAGUGGUCUGGAUUUCACUUUCUCUCCCGGCCCUUUUCCCAUUUUGGUAGUAAAAGUUGCUUAGAUCAGCAGAAAGGUUAAUACAUCAGCAAUUCUGUUAGUGUGUGUAUUGAUUCUCAAGGGGCCAGCACAGAACCUCAAAGGUGAGUCAAAGUGGAAAACGCACGUAGCCAAUAUCCCACUAGCUGUAUUUAUGAGCCAUUUAGAGUGUCCCAGGAGAAAUGCACUUUAAAAUCUAUCAAAGCUUUGGAGUUUUCUCUUCUUUCCAAGGAGAUGCCAGCAAUUAUUUAUUUUACAAAUUUCUGUUAGGUCUGAAUGCUUCCCAUGAAUGGUACCUGAAAGGAAAAUGGUGAUUGUUCUCCCAAUAAAUGAGGAAGGCCCAGGGGUCAAGGGAGAGGAAAUCUAUGAUCCAUCAUUCUAAUUCUCAGAAUAUGACAUUCCAAGUCAUGCUCUAGCCAAUCAUCUCUACUCAUGUCUACUGAGCUUUUAUCAUUACUUCUAGGCAGCCUCCAUUUAGAGGGCUAAAAUGGUGAAUCUAAUUUCUUUAACAUGUUUUUGUUUUGCUUUUCCUUUUUCUCAUUUCUUCAUUGUUUAGAAUGGUCUCUAAUUUCAAAUAGGCAUCAAGAAAUAGGCCUGCUGUAUAAUGUGCCAACGAAGCCAGGCUAUUUACAGAUGGACCCAAAAAUUUCCAUUGAUUCAUUAAUCCAUUUAUUUAGAAGACGCUUAUGUAAUGCCUGCACCGUGCCAGAUUUUGUUCUGAGGUCUACGGAUAGAGAAAUGUCCUCUAGAAGAGCACAUAGUCCUAAGGGAAAACAGACAAGUAAGCACAAUCAUAGCACAGUGUGUAGGAAGUGCUUAAGAAAAUUACUACCUUUCUUAAGCGUUUGCUUCUUUGGUACAACAUGGGUUCGUGUGUUUUAUCUCUAAUCCUCCCAGGGUUCUGCACUGUGUUUUGUUAUCCCAUUUUCUUAGGAAAUAGAUUGCGAGAUAUUUGGAAUCUUGUUAAGGUUAGGCUACUAUAAAUAUUAGGACCAGGCCCCAAACUCAGGCAUUGUGGGC